rnacentral:rRNA from 1 species
CCUACGGGUGGCUGCAGUGGGGAAUAUUGGACAAUGGGGGGAACCCUGAUCCAGCCAUGCCGCGUGUGUGAAGAAGGCCCUCGGGUUGUAAAGCACUUUCAGUGAGGAAGAACGCCUGGUGGUUAAUACCCAUCAGGAAAGACAUCACUCACAGAAGAAGCACCGGCUAACUCCGUGCCAGCAGCCGCGGUAAUACGGAGGGUGCGAGCGUUAAUCGGAAUUACUGGGCGUAAAGCGCGCGUAGGUGGCUUGAUAAGCCGGUUGUGAAAGCCCCGGGCUCAACCUGGGAACGGCAUCCGGAACUGUCAAGCUAGAGUGCAGGCGAGGAAGGUAGAAUUCCCGGUGUAGCGGUGAAAUGCGUAGAGAUCGGGAGGAAUACCAGUGGCGAAGGCGGCCUUCUGGACUGACACUGACACUGAGGUGCGAAAGCGUGGGUAGCAAACAGGAUUAGAUACCCCAGUAGUC